UACGGAGGGGGCUAGCGUUGUUCGGAAUUACUGGGCGUAAAGCGCACGUAGGCGGCUUUGUAAGUUAGAGGUGAAAGCCCAGGGCUUAACCCUGGAAUUGCCUUUAAGACUGCAUCGCUAGAAUCGUGGAGAGGUGAGUGGAAUUCCGAGUGUAGAGGUGAAAUUCGUAGAUAUCGGGAGGAACACCUGUGGCGAAAGCGGCGCACUGGACCACAACUGACGCUGAGGCGCGAAAGCUAGGGGAGCAAACAGG
rnacentral:rRNA from 1 species